GAUUGCCAAAACAAGGAUGAUGAAUGAUAUAGGAAUGAUCUCCUGUACAAAUCUGUCACACAGUGGUGUAGUGGUUUGCACUCUCACCUCAAAGUGAGUGAGAAGGCUCUGGUUUGAAUCCCAGACCCUGAGGUUCUCCAGUACAGGCCUCCUAGCUGUUCCUAAGGUGAGGAUCAAAACGCAUGGUUGGGCCUCGUUCCACCAUGUGGUCCUCGCCUGUGGAACAGCCUGCCGAAAAACCGCAGAGCUGCAGAGACCAUCUCCUACAUGACUCUUGGAUCCAUUAUUCUUGGGCACCACCGGUCCCACCUGUAUGGGGGCUGUUGCUGCAGUGCUUGUUCUCUUUGGAGCCGCUGGAGUCCUCGUGUGUGGUCUAAUAGCUGUGGAGUAGGCCCUGUGCUGCCUUGUGUUGGGUCGGGUAUCAGAGAUGACCGCAGCGCCCGCUCGACUGGGCAUGGAAUAAAUGGAUCCCCAUAAUACCGAUUCUGCACAGCAA